UACGUAGGGUGCAGGCGUUAAUCGGAAUUACUGGGCGUAAAGCGUGCGCAGGCGGUUUGCUAAGACAGGUGUGAAAUCCCCGGGCUUAACCUGGGAACUGCGCUUGUAACUGGCAAGCUAGAGCGUGGCAGAGGGGGGUGGAAUUCCACGUGUAGCAGUGAAAUGCGUAGAGAUGUGGAGGAACACCGAUGGCGAAGGCACUUUACUGGGCUAUGACUAACACUCAGAGACGAAAGCUAGGGUAGCAAAUGGG
rnacentral:rRNA from 1 species